GUUUUUUCUUUUUAACAUCGACAUUCCGUGGGUGUGGGGGGGGGGUUUAUUGCUAUUGUUGUGUUCGAUCGGUAUUUUUGCUGUGUAGAAAAAAAAAAAAAUUAUAUCGGUUUGCGACGGGGGCGUCGGCUACGGCGGUUAUAAUAAUAUUAUAAUUAUUAUACGUGUCGCGGAGAGUCCUGCAGCUCUCGGCUUGUCCAGCGCCGGAGAAAAAUGAUCCUCCUCUCGAAAAAACCGAUACAAUCCGUAGUAAUUAUUGCUGCAGUUUUGUGUAUGCGUGUGUGUGUGUGUGUGUGUUUUUGUGUGUAGGUGUGUGUGUAUGA